rnacentral:rRNA from 1 species
UACGUAGGUGGCAAGCGUUGUCCGGAUUUACUGGGCGUAAAGAGCGCGCAGGCGGUCGUUCAAGUCGCGUGUGAAAGCCCCCGGCUCAACUGGGGAGGGUCACGCGAUACUGAUCGACUCGAAGGCAGGAGAGGGUAGUGGAAUUCCCGGUGUAGUGGUGAAAUGCGUAGAUAUCUGGAGGAACAUCGGUGGCGAAGGCGACAUCCUGGACCGGUAGUUGACGCUGAGGCGCGAAAGCCAGGGGAGCAAAGCGGG